CGGAGGGUGCAAGCGUUAUCCGGAUUCACUGGGUUUAAAGGGAGCGCAGGCGGAUUUGUAAGUCAGUGGUGAAAGGCUUAAGCUUAACUUGGGAACUGCCAUUGAUACUAUAAGUCUUGAAUGUUGUUGAGGUUUGCGGAAUGGGUCAUGUAGCGGUGAAAUGCAUAGAUAUGACCCGGAACACCUAUUGCGAAGGCAGCAGGCUAAACAAAUAUUGACGCUGAGGCUCGAAAGCGUGGGGAUCAAACAGGAUUAGAUACCCUGGUAGUCCACGCCCUAAACUAUGAUUACUCGACAUAUGCGAUACACUGUAUGUGUCUGAGCGAAAGCAUUAAGUAAUCCACCUGGGAAGUACGACCGCAAGGUUG
rnacentral:rRNA from 1 species